GUAAAAAGCAUUUAGUAAACAAAAAGUAUUUUCAAUAUACAAUUAAGACUGAAAAGUAUUGAGGCCUCAUAAGCUGAACCUGACACAAUAAAUUUAAAAGGGAAACUAAUUUGGAAAUCAGAAAACCAUCUAAAGAAUUUGGGAAUUAGGCUUCUGCUGCCCUCUCUGCUACUGACGGUCAAGGCCUCCUCAUUGUAUUCUGUCCUCCAUAUCUCUGCUGAUUCCCAUUUUGUCUAUUUCCAUUUACCCCACUACUACUUGCUCAGGUCACUCUCCUUCAUUGUCGGUGUUUGUUCAAAUUCCUCAGACCCAUCCACUUCCCAUCUAAACUUCCCUCCCCUUUUCUCGCUCGUUGGCUCUACCUCCCUCCUCUGUUUUCUCCUCACUCUCCUGCCCCACCUCGACAUCCACAGCGAGGCAAUGAAGAAGCCCCUGCCAAGGAAGAGCCCGCUUCUCAGUGGGACACCGGGAAGGUAAACACCCAACAGUCACCGCUAGUGGGAGGCGAUUGUGCAGAAGCACGAGGGUUGUUACAGGAUCGGGCAGGUCCCCUACCCCAGUCUCGGACUCAGGGUCCUGUCUGAGGCGGCCACCCCGAAGCGUGGGGUUUGCGGAGACGUAGGGCCUGGCGGAGGGAAGGAUGGGGAAGCAUCUCAGGGAGGACUGGCGUCUGCCGAAUCCCAGGGCUGCCCUGAGGGGCCAAGAGGGGCGAGGGUGGGGACGAUGGAAGACAAGCCACAUGCCGAAUCGGGACCUGAGGCCGCGCGCGAUAGGAUGGGCGGACGGUGAAGAGAACUAGGGUGGAAGGGCCGGACAGGGGCGACCUCAGUGACGGAACCGGACACAGACGCAGAUCUGGCAGCUGGGCGACAGGCUUCGGAGCAUUUCCGGGCGUCGCGGGACUCCCCGCCGACAGGAGGGCGGUUGCCGAGCCUGUGACAUCCGCGGAGACCAGCAGACCCCGGGUGUGGAGGACGCCGCAGGAAGGGAACUGCGUGGCUGGGUUUGGCCACAAAAAGCGGAGGGCACUCACCCGAGCGGACCUCGGCUCCGGAGAAUCCGUUUCCGGGUCAACAAAAAACGUCGCGCGAGGGGCGGGGCCCGUACGUGCAGGGAGGGGAGGCAGAGAAAAAGGCGGGGCCGGGCCGGGGCGGGGUCUCGGGCAGGGGCGGGGAGCUUACCGACCUCCCGCCCCCGCUGCGCGCGUUUCUGGCCCUGCCAGUGUCUCCGCCGGUUGAAAGCGCGUGUCUGCGUCGGGUUCUGUUGGAGUGCGUUCGGUGUGCCGUGGGUCCGCGCUGCUUCCACCCAACUUCCUGUUAGGACCCACCCGAGGACGGGUCACCAUGGCUUUGGAGCACCUGGUAGUGUGGCAUGUCCACAGUGAAGACCAGAGUUUCGUUGUCCUUAAGACUGACCUGGGGAGACGUGGCUGCAGGCCAUUGAGGAAGACGGCACCGAAAGCGAAGGAAGCUCCUGCUCCUCCUAAAGCCGAAGCCAAAGUGAAGGCUUUAAAGGCCAAGAAGGCAGUGUUGAAAGGUGUCCGCAGCCACACGCAAAAAAGAAGAUCCGCAUGUCACUCACCUUCAGGCGGCCCAAGACACUGCGACUUCGGAGGCAGCCCAGAUAUCCUCGGAAGAGCACCCCCAGGAGAAACAAGCUUGGCCACUAUGCUAUCAAGUUUCCGCUGACCACUGAGUGGGCCGGAAGAAGAUAGAAGAAAGCAACAUGCUUGUGUUCUUCGUGGAUGUUAAAGCCAACAAGCACCAGAUCAGACAGGCUGUGAAGAAGGUCUAUGACAGUGAUGUGGCCAAGGUCACCACCCUGAUUUUUCCUGAUAAAGAGAACAAGGCAUAUAUGUUCGACUGGCUCCUGAUUAUGAAGCUUUGGAUGUUGCAACAAAAUUGGGAUCAUCUAAACUGAGUCCAGCUGGCUAACUCUAAAUACAUGUGUAUCUUUUCACCA
rnacentral:lncRNA from 1 species